AGUUUGAUCCUGGCUCAGGAUGAACGCUAGCGGCAGGCUUAAUACAUGCAAGUCGUGGGGCAGCAGCUCUGUAGCAAUACAGAGGCUGGCGACCGGCAAACGGGUGCGGAACACGUACGCAACCUUCCUUUAACUGGAGAAUAGCCCCUCGAAAGAGGGAUUAAUACUCCGUAACAUAUUGAAAAGGCAUCUUUUUAAUAUUAUAGCUCCGGCGGUUAAAGAUGGGCGUGCGCCUGAUUAGAUAGUUGGCGGGGUAAUGGCCCACCAAGUCUACGAUCAGUAACUGGUGUGAGAGCACGACCAGUCACACGGGCACUGAGACACGGGCCCGACUCCUACGGGAGGCAGCAGUAAGGAAUAUUGGUCAAUGGACGCAAGUCUGAACCAGCCAUGCCGCGUGGAGGAUUAAGGCCCUCUGGGUUGUAAACUCCUUUUAUCUGGGAAGAAAUCCAUGAAUUCUUUCGUGGUUGACGGUACCAGAGGAAUAAGCACCGGCUAACUCCGUGCCAGCAGCCGCGGUAAUACGGAGGGUGCAAGCGUUAUCCGGAUUCACUGGGUUUAAAGGGUGCGUAGGCGGGUAGGUAAGUCCGUGGUGAAAUCUCUGAGCUUAACUCAGAAACUGCCAUGGAUACUAUUUGUCUUGAAUAUUGUGGAGGUAAGCGGAAUAUGUCAUGUAGCGGUGAA
rnacentral:rRNA from 1 species